UACGUAGGGGGGCAAGCGUUGUCCGGAAUUAUUGGGCGUAAAGAGCGUGUAGGCGCCAGGUAGGUCCGUUGUGAAAACUCGAGGCUCAACCUCGAGACGUCGACGGAAACCAUCUGGCUAGAGUCCGGAAGAGGAGAGUGGAAUUCCUGGUGUAGCGGUGAAAUGCGCAGAUAUCAGGAGGAACACCUAUUGCGAAGGCAGCUCGCUGGGACGUUACUGACGCUGAGACGCGAAAGCGUGGGGAGCAAAC
rnacentral:rRNA from 1 species